CACACACACACACACACACACACACACACACACACACACACACAUGCAAUGAAUAUCGACGUUGACAGAGUGAUGUCAUUAGGCGGCAUUCUUCCCUGGGGGAUUAUGCAAAUGAGGAAGCGAUUAAAGGGCAGAGAAGACUUGAUGAUGACUUGACGGGUGCAAACUGUGUUCCUGCUAAUUGGAUAGGACAUGGUUUCGACUUUUUGUGCUUGUCUAAUUUCCUUUCUCUUCUUACCAUACACGUCUUCUACUCAUGGCAUUUUUUUUGCACACAUUCAGAAGUGUCUUCAGGUGCUUUGCUCCUAAAAUACUAGAUUUGUGGACUUCAAUGAUUCAAUGAGCAGAAAACCAUUUUGUUCGGUCUCAUUGACUGUCAUGCAAAACACAUAUUUACAUAUCUUGGUGGGGAAAAACAACAUCACGUGUGCUUUCAUACUGUAUCAUCAGAAGCAUAUCUCCAAUGUCUCCAUUGUGAGACUGACAGGCUUAAUCAAUUCAGUUAAAUGCAUAAUAUUAUGCAGCAUAGAACAAAUGUCAUUUAUUUAUUUACACCUUAGAUCGAAGAAUACUGACGACUACACUAAAUAUGAUGUUGAUAAACCACAUUCGUUGUCAAAAUUUAAGAAGAUAUUAACGGCAACGUAAUCUAA